rnacentral:rRNA from 1 species
AUUGAACGCUGGCGGCAUGCUUUACACAUGCAAGUCGAACGGUAACAGGGUGCUUGCACCGCUGACGAGUGGCGGACGGGUGAGUAAUGCGUCGGAACGUGCCGAGUAGUGGGGGAUAACGCAUCGAAAGGUGUGCUAAUACCGCAUACGUACUGAGGUAGAAAGUGGGGGACCUUCGGGCCUCACGCUAUUCGAGCGGCCGACGUCUGAUUAGCUAGUUGGUGAGGUAAAGGCUCACCAAGGCGACGAUCAGUAGCGGGUCUGAGAGGAUGAUCCGCCACACUGGGACUGAGACACGGCCCAGACUCCUACGGGAGGCAGCAGUGGGGAAUUUUGGACAAUGGGCGCAAGCCUGAUCCAGCCAUGCCGCGUGUCUGAAGAAGGCCUUCGGGUUGUAAAGGACUUUUGUCCGGGAGCAAAUACCCAGUGCUAAUAACGCUGGGGGCUGAGAGUACCGGAAGAAUAAGCACCGGCUAACUUCGUGCCAGCCGCCGCGGUAACAC